rnacentral:rRNA from 1 species
AGUGAACGCUGGCGGUAGGCCUAACACAUGCAAGUCGAACGGCAGCACAGUAAGAGCUUGCUCUUACGGGUGGCGAGUGGCGGACGGGUGAGGAAUACAUCGGCAUCUACUUUUUCGUGGGGGAUAACGUAGGGAAACUUACGCUACUACCGCAUACGACCUACGGGUUAAAGCAGGGGAUCUUCGGACCUUGCGCGAUUGAAUGAGCCGAUCUCGGAUUAGCUAGUUGGGGGGGUAAAGGCCCACCAAGCCGACGAUCCGUACCUGGUCUGAGAGGAUGAUCAGCCACACUGGAACUGAGACACGGUCCAGACUCCUACGGGAGGCAGCAGUGGGGAAUAUUGGACAAUGGGCGAAAGCCUGAUCCAGCCAGACCGCGUGGGUGAAGAAGGCCUUCGGGUUGUAAAGCCUUUUUGUUGGGAAAGAGAAGCAGCAGGUUAAAACCCCGCUGUUCUGACGGUACCCAAAGAAUAAGCACCGGCUAACUUCGUG